UGGUUUGAGCUAUUUGUAGAUAAUUCAAUUUAACGUUUACAGAAUGCCUCUAUGUUUGCUUAUUAGAAGCCAGCAUAUUGAGUGAAGUGCUACCUAGGGGAAUAACAUUAAUUUAAUUAAGAAAUUUUCCCAGCUUUACAAGCUACUUCACCAGGGGAAAGAAUGCUGCUGCAUGCUUUCUGUCAUAUAUGGGCCCCGUGUGGCAAGCAUUGUGGGGCUGACUAUGCCCUGAUACUGCCUGUUUGGGGACACAGUCACCACAGCCUCCCGGAUGGAAUCCACAGGCCUGUCAUACCGCAUACACACCAGCCGCAGCUCUGUGAAAAUCCUACUGGAGCUGAAGGCAGGAUACCAAGUCCAGUGGACAGAGAGGACAGAAAUGAAGGGGAAAGAUUUGGAGGAGACAUACUGGCUAAUAGUCCGGACCGGCUUCACCAAGUCUUUACCAGUGCCACCGGAGCUCAAGUCAGGGCAAAUUGCGUAUGGCUUACAGAUGGGGGAAAAUAGCCCAAUUCAAGAGGCGGAAAGCAGAAAAACAACAACCUGCCAAGAAGAAUAACUCAGGCAAUGUUAUGCAUGGAAAAUGUAUAACAUUUCUUACUGUUUAUGCUUCUAACAUUGCCCGGUGAAGAUUUUUUCCAUUUGCUCUCCAAGGACUCCUCAAGUCCUUCUCUAUUUGAAGGCACCGGACUGCUUAAUAAUCUCGUACCUCAUUCUGUGUUAUUGAGCAGCUGAACAGCCUUGUCAUUCAAAUUUUUUUUUUAAUGGCAUAUCUGCAAAUGUACACUGGCUCUAGGCGGAACACAGGUUCUGAAGAAUUUUCUGUGGCUUUUUGAAAGUGAAUUUAAUAUUCAAACAUAUAAGAAUGCAUAUUUAAGAAUGUAAGGACAUAAGAAAACAGUCUUAGAGAAUGAAAAAUUGUUUUUAAAAAUUCUGUGAACCAUCAGAGAGAAUGUCAAUGAAAUGAAUCCCCUCAUUUAAAAAUGCUGAAUUGAAGGUAAUCUACAUGACAAAUGGAAUCUGCACUUUCGAAUAAUAAAAAAUCUAUGAGGAUGCCAGUCAUGAACCACUUUA